UACGAAGGGGACUAGCGUUGUUCGGAAUUACUGGGCGUAAAGCGCACGUAGGCGGAUUGUUAAGUGAGGGGUGAAAGCCCAGGGCUCAACCCCUGGAACUGCCUCUCAUACUGGCAAUCUUGAGUUCGGAAGAGGUAAGUGGAAUUGCGAGUGUAGAGGUGAAAUUCGUAGAUAUUCGCAGGAACACCAGUGGCGAAGGCGGCUUACUGGUCCGAAACUGACGCUGAGGUGCGAAAGCGUGGGGAGCAAACAGG
rnacentral:rRNA from 1 species